GAAAUAGUAAAAGUAAGACUAAGAUCUGGAAAUGGUAGAAAAGUAGAUAAGAUUCUGUGGGCAAUCAUUGUAGAUUUUGAGAGCAAACAGCAUGUAGAAGGGAUCUACAGAAUUCUGGAUCAGUAGGAGAACCCUUGGUAUCAUGAGCAAGGCAGAUACACAAGUAAAAUACUUGAGUGGAAGAAACUCCUUCAUCCUAACUCUAGCCAUCUGAUCAUCCUCAGAAGCUAAGAGCAUGGACAGAGACGUACAGCAGGGUUUAUCAGUUUUUUGUACCAGGAAGAAAAAGUUAUUAAUCAUUGUGUUCUGGUUUGGUGUUGUGCUAAUUAUACUUUGUUUUAUUUUUAACUUAUUUUUAUUUACAUGUACUUGUAUGUUAAAGUAAGUUUAUGUGAGAACAAAUCCUCUGUCUCUUUCUAUGUCUUUCACUAACAACUCUCUGUCUCUGUCAUUUUCUGUCUCUUUGCCUGUCUCUGCCUACGCCCCCUCCCCUCUCUCUGUGUGUGUAGGGCAGAGGAUGGCAUCAAGUGUUUCCUAAUUGUUCUUCUAAUAUUCUGAGAUAGACUCACUGAGCCUGAAACUCACAGAAUGGAGCCAACUGUCUGGAUGGCAACUCUAUUCUUCCAAAAUUGCUGGUGAACAGUGACAGCUUGACAGCACUGCAAAAUAAAGGCCAGUGUAUUCAAGGGCAGUUGUGGUGGAGAAGGAGGUGGUGCUGGUGGUGGUGGUGACAGAGGAAGAGGAAGAGGAAGAGGAAGAGGAAGAGGAGGAAGAAGAAGAGGAAGAGAAGAAAGAGGAUUGUCAUCUGUGCAGAAAGAGAUUAUGAACUGGCUAAGAGAGCUCAGAACAACAUAUUUAAAGUUCUUGAAGUAUACAAAUUAUAGUUAAUGAUGUUAAUACCUAAUAUUUUUGUGAAUAUACUUACUUGGUAACAAAGUAUAUACACCAAAAAUAAUGAUAUCCUCUUGAAUGUUUUCUCUCUAUGUGAAAAUAUGAGACUUGGACAAGAAUUGUGGGAUUCAGGAAAACAGACUAAAUAGGAUUCUAAGGAAUUGAGGGGGAGGUGGAAACCUAGUGUGAAAGGUUGGAGCAUGAUUUAUAUCUAAAGUAGCAUAGGAAAAUUGGAUUCUAAGUGAACAUUCAUAUGUGUGAGAUACAGUUAACACUAAACACAUAUUUUAAAUGCACUAUGUUAAACAAGGAGGAAACAGCACUAAGUAUAACGAUUCUAACAUGAACUUGUCUCAUGAACUAGCAGUAUUAAUGAGAUUAAUGUUAAUACAAACCAGGCUAUGAUGAAGGCUUUCGUUGGGUCAUGACUAUUGCUGAUAACAUAUA